rnacentral:tRNA from 1 species
GCUCCAGUGGCGCAAUUGGUUAGUCGCACGGUACUUAUAAUCAGUAAUGGGUGUAAUAAACCAAAGAUAUGAGCAAUGCCGAGGUUGUGAGUUCGAGCCUCACCUGGAGCA